CCAGUCUCAUUUUUCUCCAGGCUCUUCCUCUUAAAUUUUCUUCCAUUUAAACUGUAAGAAAUGCCAAAAGGAAGACAACUGUAUCUGUGUCCAAGUUCUUCUGGAAAGGAGGAAGCCUUGAAAGGGUGGUGUUGAAAGUAAUGAAGUGUCAAGAAUACCGAUGACAUGGGACACACGGUGCUUCCCUUGCAUAGCUUGUACCCAAACUGGACUAUUCAACCUGGAAAUUUGAGAAGGAAUGAAGAGAAUCAGAAAACAGCUCUCCCUCUUAGAGCUUACCAAGCCACUGGUUCCAGUCCAAGAUAAGAACAGAAAAGGAAAUUAACACUUCUGGACACUUAUUAUUUUCUCAACAAUUACCUUUCUUGCUGGUAUCUCAG